UGACGGUAGCGUGCGGCGUAGCCUCAAGC
rnacentral:sRNA from 1 species